rnacentral:rRNA from 1 species
UACGGAGGGUGCAAGCGUUGUCCGGAUUUAUUGGGUUUAAAGGGUGCGUAGGCGGCCCGUUAAGUCAGUGGUGAAAGCCUCCAGCUCAACUGGAGAACUGCCAUUGAUACUGGCGGGCUUGAGUACAGACGAGGUAGGCGGAAUUGAUUGUGUAGCGGUGAAAUGCAUAGAUACAAUCAAGAACACCGAUUGCGUAGGCAGCUUACUAGGCUGUAACUGAUGCUGAGGCACGAAAGCGUGGGGAGCGAACAGG